GAUGAACGCUGGCGGCGUGCUUAACACAUGCAAGUCGAACGAUGAAGCCCAGCUUGCUGGGUGGAGUAGUGGCGAACGGGUGAGUAACACGUGAGUAACCUGCCCUUAACUCUGGGAUAAGCCUGUGAAACUGGGUCUAACACCGGACAGGAGCGCCUACCGCAUGGUGGGUGUUGGAAAGAUUUAUCGGUUUUGGAUGGAUUCGCGGCCUAUCAGCUUGUUGGUGAGGGAAUGGCUCACGAAGGCGGAGACGGGUAGACGGCCUGAGAGGGUGGCCGGCCACACUGCGCCUGCGAGAGGGAGCAGACUCCUACCGGAGGCAGCAGUCGAAAGUAUUGCGCAAUAGGCGCGCGCCUGAUGCGGAGACGCUGCGUGAGUAAUGACGGCCUUCGAGUUAUGAACCUAUUUCAGUGGAGAAGAAGCGGACGUGACGGUACCUACAGAAAAAGCACCGGCUAACUACGUG
rnacentral:rRNA from 1 species